AUACCAUUCUUGGCCUUUUGGCGAAGAUCAAGUGUAGUAUUUGUUCUUAUCAGUUUAAUAUUUGAUCAGUGACUCAAUGGUUCUCAACAAUAUUAAAUUACUUUUUUGAGGGUGAGAGCUUGCUAUUGGGCUUUUCAAGUGUUGCCUUU
rnacentral:snRNA from 2 species